UUACUUUUUCUAAUUACUGUUUCCGUUUUCUACCUCCAUCUUUUAAAACAAGAUGUAACUUUUUAAAGUACUUUUAAAAAUCUGAGUAUUUCUGUGGAACUACCGUUUGAAGAAACAUGUAUGAAUUUUGCAAGUGUCAGUCACCAUUAAGUUCCAGUUGCUUUGGAGUACACAUAUAUGUGGUAGAUUUUCUAUUUGCAUAUGGAUGCUUUAGUCAUUUAUCUGAGUAUUUUGAAGCUUUUUUCGGCAUUUUUUUCCUUUAGUGUCAGGAAAGGUAAGCACCUAUUGUCAUUUUUUUCUUCAACAGAAUACUUAUUCUGAUAUUCACGUUACAGAGGAAGAGGGGAAGGAUAGGCAAUUCUUGUAGUCCUGUGUACAUUUUUUUUUAAAAAGUGACAUACCCAGGGUAAUUGGGUGACUGGGUUCAGUGGGUUAUGUUGUUCAUGCACAGCUCUUAAGGAAAAUUUAGCAAUGUGUUUUGUGAAUGGAGGUUUGGGGAAGAGCUGUGUUCAUCUUGAGUUUGUUCGUUCUACCUUCUUUCAGCUCAGUUCACUUAUAAAACUUCCCAGUUUAACUUACUCAAGGAGUAAUUGGGUGACUGAGUUCAGUGGGUUAUGUUGUACAUGCACAGCUCUUAAGGAAAAAUUAACAAUGUGUUCUGUGAAUGGAGGUUUGGGGAAGAGCUGUGUUCAUCUUGAGUUUGUUCAUUGUACCUUCUUUCAGCUCCCUUCACUUAUAAAACUUCCCAGUUUAACUUACUCAAGGAGUAAGUACUGAUUUAACUAACAGUGUUUACUAAACCCAAAGAUAAGCCGUGAGAAUUGUUAAGCUGCUCUUUGUAGUCUUCAGUCCCACCCCCAUUUUAAAUGCUUCUUAAUGUGACUUGAUGAGUAUCUUUUAAGUAAUGAUAGAUGAAGGCAAGAAAAUUUUAAUGGGCUAAAAAGAAACAAACUAGUUAUAUACAAUCCGAUUUUCUUUAUCACCUAUAGUAAACAAUCACAGUAAUUCAAAUAACAGCAAUUUUCUUUUUGACACUAGAGAAGGAUUUUUCCAAUACUGUGAUUUCCCUUAUAAUUUGUUCAUUGUUGCUUUUUUUGGUCAAAAAAGAAAAUGUCUUAAAAAAUAAUUUCUGUUGGGUUUGGGAGAUGUGGUAAAGGAGUAAAGGAAAAAAUUUUCCUUUAGUAAUCAGUGAGUACCAGAGACUUCAUAAUAUGUUAUUUAACUUAUCAGCUAUCAUGUAAUGAAAUAAAGUGUAUUUUCUUAGCGGUGUUUCAGACUGGAAAGUUCUUACUGCUUUGUUGUCACAAUAUGAGGCAUUAGUGCACUAAAGACAUUAUGCUUAGUAGUCAUUAGAUCCUCCCUUCAAGUAACUAUUCCUUUAUGUUAAACUCAGUGGUAAAUUGUGAGCCUUUAAAAAAAAAAUUGGAGUAUACAAAUGUAUUGAAAAUAAGAAUUGGAUUUUAAUUUUUUACUUUUUUCAAAUGAUAUUUCUCAGAACAUCUUAUGUAUUAAUAUUUAUCAAAUAGAUACUGGUCCUGUCUGUUUAUCAAAUAAAUACUGCUGCUUUAGUAAACUUUGAAGGUAGAAGAAAAUUAAUUUAGAUGUUUGGGAAACAUCUAUUGUGAGAAGAAAAUUAUAGUGAAAUGGUAGAAAAAGUAAGAAUCUGCAGAAUUUUCAAUACUCAAAAUUUAGGUGCUUAUUAUUUUUUAUUAAAUUUUUAAGUGUUUACAGUUUCUUUUCCAGCCAGAUAACCUAAGUAGGAAUAAGAUCCAUAAUUAUGUUUUGUCUUAUGUUUGUAGCUAUACAGUUAGUUUGUUAAAGGAUUAUUUUUUAUAGUUUAAUACUUUGUUUCCUACUCUGUUCCUUUUGUGUAUCUCAAAUUCUUGCCAGUAAGUACAAUUUGAGUUUUUUUUAAAAAACUAUUUUUUUUAUGUUUUCUUUUUUUAAAAAAUAAAGUCUAAGAAAACGAUAGUAAUUAGUUCUCAAUGUCUCAUUUGACAUCUCAAAUUUAGUAUACCUUUACAGAAUCAGAAUCUUAGAGCCUCUAUUACUGUAGUUACAUAUAAGUGGAUAUUGAACCUUUGCUUGUAGUAGUCUAGAUUUUAGGGAAAACAUUAACUUAAAACUUUCCCCGUUUUGUUAGCCUUGAUAAUUAAACAAUUCUUUUAUAUAGGUAACUGAGAUAGUGGCUCUUCUGACUUCUGUCCAAUUAGUUCUUAGCAUCAGAGUCCUCUUUAUGUGCAGAUAACAGAAAAUCUAUUGGAAAACGGCUUAAAUGAAAAAGGAAACUUAAUCAGCCGAAUGAAUUCCUGAUGUAUAUCUGAUUCUACCUGAGCUGUUUUUUACUUUAUCUCUUCUGUUUUCCUGUGUAGUUUUUAUCAUCAAGUUGGUUUCUUAGCAGGAUGGCUGCAGCAGUUUGAAGCUUCAUGUCUUCAUACUACCUCAUCUGUAGGAAAGAGAACAUUGUAGAGAAGAGAGCUCUUGGUUGUUUUAGAAAUAGAAUUGAAAGACUCAUUAUUUCUUUUUGUCCUGAUUGGGUUUUGUGCCAGUUGUUGAACCAAAAUGCUGUACUUAGGAGAAUGGGGAUAUGUUCUUAUUUUUCUUAGUGAGGCCCUGGCUCUGGAGCCAGGAGAAGGGAGAGAGAAAUGUUGCUGGAUGUAAGUUAGCACUGAUACUAAUUAUUCUAACAGUGAUUAAUGGUUAGAAUGGCUGGGUACAGUGGCACAUAGUCCCAACCUCAGGAGUUUGAGACAGGAGGAUCGCACGGGGCCAGGAGUCCAAGGCCACAAGGCGCCAUGAUCAUGAUACCUGUGAAUAGCCACUGUGCCCCAACCUGGGUAACAUAGCAAAACCUUUUCUCUUUAAAAAAAAAAAAAAAAAAAAAUGCUGAAUGAAUUCUUUCUAUUGAGAUAUUCUGGAGAAUAGAAAGUUUUGUUAGGGAUGGGUCUUUUUGCAUGUAGAAGAAAUUAUUUUGAUUUGGAAAAAGAGUAUUCUUUGACUUUGCAAUGCUUUUUGAAGGGUGCUUUUUAUUUUCCAGGGGUGUGUGUGAAUAUAUUUAUAUGUAAAUAAAAUCCUUUUGUUACUUCUGACUUAACUGCGAUUUGAUUUGCACAUAUUUUGAAGAUUUUUGCUUUUAUAUUAAUGAGAGAUAUUGUUCUUUACUUUUCUUAUAUUCAUCUUGUUUUGGUAUCAGAGUAAUGCUGGACUCAUAAAAUGAUUUGGGAAGUGUUCUCUGCUUUUCAGUGUUCUGGACGAGAUUGUUUAGAAUUGGUUUUAUUUUUUUCUUAAAUGUUUACUAUAUUUUGCAAAAGAAACCACUUGGAUCUCGGAUAUUCUUUUCUUGAAGGUUUUUAAACUACAAACUUAAUUUCUCUAACAGUAAGGACCAUUCAGUUUAUGUACUUCUUCUUGAGUGAGUUUUUGUGAUUUGUGGUUUUUGAGGAAUUGGUCCGGUUUGAUCUAAGUUAUUGAUUUUAUAUGCAUCAAAUUGUUUGGGUAUUGCCUUGUCAUUUGAAUGUCUGUGGCAGCUGUAGUAAUACUCCCCUUUCAUUUCUGAUAAUAGUGAUUUAUGUUUUGUCUCUUUUCUUGUCCUGCUAGAAGUUUAUUAAUUUUAUUGAUCUUUUCAAAGAACCAACUUUUAGAUUCAUUGAUCUUUGUAAUAUUUUCUUCGUGUUUUCAUUUAUUAAUUUCUACUCUUUAUUGUUUUCUUCUUUUGCAUGAUUUGGGUGAUUUUGCUCUUGUUUUUCUAAUAUUUUUAAGUAGAAGCCUAGUUUAUUGACCAGAGAUCCUCUUUUCUAAUGUGUUUAUUACUAGAAACUUUCUAACUGCUGCUUUAGCUGCAUUCCCGAGGUUUUGAUAUAUUUCCAUUUUCAUUCAAUUCAGUGUUUUAAAAUUUUCCUUGAGUAAGUUUAAGUAUUUAGAGUUUUAAAAAAUCCUGUUGUUGAUUUCUCGUUUUAAUUCCAUUAAGAUUAGAGAAUGUACUUCACAUAAUUUUAAUUAUUUUAAAUUGUUUUUGACUUGCUUUCUGACACAGGUUUGUCUUGGUGAAUUUUCCAUUUGUGCUUAGAAAGAAUGAUAUUUGUAUAUUCUGCUGUUACUGUGUGGAAUGUUCUAUUGAUGUCAGUUAGAUCCCAUUGAUUAAUGGGGUUGUCCAGGCUAUCUCUAUCUUAGCUGAUUUUCUGUCUAGUUCUGUCAGUUACUGAGAGAGGGUUGUUGAAGUCUUCAACUCUUAUUUUGGACUUCUUUCAGUUCUGUCAUUUUUUGCCUCAUGUAAUUUGAGGUACUCUUGUUAGGUGUUUGUGCAUUUAGGAUGAUGUAUUCUUAGGAACACCACUAAAGCCCUACUAUCAAAACCAAAGAUAUUUAUAAGAAAAGGAAGCUGUAGAGCAGUAUCCCUUAUGAACAUAGACAUAAAAAUAUUUAACCAAAUUUUAGUAAAUCUUAUUCAGUAAUACAGUUGUCCCUUGGUAUCCAUGGAGGAUUAAUUUCAGGACCCCAGAGAAUACCAAAAUCCACAGAUGUCCAAGUCCCUUGUAUAAAAUAAUGUAUAAUAUUUGCAUAUAACUUAAACAUAUUCUCUCAUAUAUUUAAAAUUAUCUUUAGAUUACUUGGAAUACCUAAUACAGUAGAAAUAGUGGUUAUGCUGUAUCUUAAAAUUUUUAUUUUUUUACUUGCUGUAUUAUUUUAAAAUUAUUUUUAAAAUAUUUCAUCUACUGUUGGUUGAACCUGUGGAUAUGGAGCUGGUGAAUAUUGAAGGCUUAUUGUAUAUUAAAUUAUGACUAAGUGGAGUUUAUCAUAGAGAUACAUGGUAGGUUUUAUAUUUGGAAAUUGGUUAGUGUAGUUUAAGAUACCAAUAUAAUAAAAGAGAAAAAUCUUAGGAUCAUCCCCGUAGCUGGAGAAAAAGCAUUUAAUCACAUUUAACAUUCAUCCAUGAUAAAAACUGUUAGCACACUAAAUUAGAAAGGGGAUUUCUUCAGUUUGAUAAAGAGAAUUUCAAAACAACAACAAUAAGCAAAAAAUACAAAAUACCUCCCACAUACUUAAUAUUGAAAGACAAUAUGCUUUCCCCUAAGAUCGCAAGUUAGGCAAAGGUGUCCACUCUCUCACUUUUAUGUAACAUUGUACUGGAGAUCCUAGCCAGUGUACUAAUGCAGGGAAAGAAAAAAAGGAAAACAAAAGAAUAAAGAUUGGAAAUAAAGAAGUGAAACUGUCUUUACGUUUUUAGUCAAUGUAAUUGUCCAUAGAAAGAAUCUUAAGGAAUGUACCAAAAAAGGAUAGAAGAAUAAAUAAACAAUUUUAGUAAAUGUUACAGGAUACAAGCAUGCAAAACCAAUUAUAUGUAUUGGUAUACUUGCAACAAAUGGCUAUAAAUGCAAUUUAAAAAAUAAUGUCAUUUGCAGUAGCAUCAAAAAAUAUGAACUAUAUGUGUAUGAAUUUGACAAAAUAUGUACAGAACCUGUGCACUGAAAACUUCAUGUUGUUUUUGAGAGAAAUUUAAAAGGACUUAAUGGAGAGAAAUGCCAUGUUCAUGAAUUUGAAUACUCAAUAUUGUUGGGAUGUUAAUUUUUUCUACUUUUAUGUUUAAAUCUAGAGCAGUCCAAUCAAAAUGACACUAGCUUUUCUGUAGAAAUUGGCAAGUUGAUUCGAAAAUCUUAUAAAAAUAGAAAGCACUUAAAAUAGUCAAAGUAAUUUUUUUUAAAACAAAGCUGAAGGAUUUGCACUACUUGAUUUUAUAAUUUACAGUAAAGCUAUAAUUUAGGACAGUAUGGUUUUACUAUAAUGAUGGGCAUAGAGAUCUGUGGAAAAGAAUAGAAAUAGAAGUGUACAUACAUGGUUAAUUGAUUUUCAACAAAGAUGCUGAGGUAAUUCAGUUAUUAAAAGGAUAGUCUUUCCAACAAAUGGUGCUGGAUCAGCCAUAUAUUUGUAUGGGAAAAUAAUGAACUUUGUUUCUUCCUUCAACAUUGUAUGCAAAAAUUAACUGGAAAUAGAUCGUGGAGCUAAAUAUAAAAGCUAAAAGUCUAAAACUUUCAGUAGAAAAUAUUUGAGAAUAUCUUUGUGACUUUGAGGUAAGCAAGGAUUUUUCAGAAUACAAAAAGCGUCAAGUAUAAAAGAAAAAUAUUGGUAAAUUGGACUUAAUGAAAAUUGAAGAUUUCUGCUCCCCAAAGACAUCAGGAAAUUGGAAAGGCAAACAACAGACUUGGAGAAGAUAUUUGAAAUACACACUUAAGGAUGUAUACAGAAGAUAUAAAUACUUCCCCAGCCAAGGAGGUAUAUGAAUAACUAGUAAACACAUCAGUGAGCAGGGAAAGUAAAAUUCACACCACAAGGCAAUAUUUCUACUCACCCAUUAACAUGUCUAAAAUUUGAAGAUCAACAAUACCAAACAUUGACAAGGAUGCUAGAGCAACUGUAUCUCUUACAAAUUGUAGUCGGAGUAUAAAACGGUACACUGUAGAAAGCAGUUUGUCGGUUUCUUAUAAACUUACUGUAUAGCCUAACAGUUCCACUCCUAAAUAUUCCCUUGGUGCUCACAAAUGAGAUCAGAUAUAGUGUAUGUUUCUUAGUAAAUUCGAUUUUUUUCCAUCAGUGGUAUACAGAAUUUACAAAUUGAAUUUUAAGAUAUUUUCCCCUGUGUUAUAUAAAAGUUUGUAUAGUAUAGAAGUUAUCCUUAAAAUUGAUAAUGAAAAAAAUUAAUAAUGAACUUUGUUUCUUCCUUCAACAUUGUAUUCAAAAAUUAACUGGAAAUGGAUCACAGAGCUAAAUAUAAAAGCUAAAAGUAUAAAACUUUAAGGUAAUAUUCAUUCUAUGAAUCUUCCAGAGUAUGGUACUUUGAUAGCAGGUAGUUCUUUGAAAACUUCUUUAUUUUCUCUGUUUUUUGGCCUGUUUAUUUAGAUUUUUCUGUUUCUUCUUUUAAGUCCAGAGUGGUAUUUCUUGAGAAAGAUCAAAUUUAUUGUGAAUAUGUGAAUGAAAUGGGCCUUUUAUAAUUAAAAAAACUUCUCUGUGCUUGUCUGUUGUUGCGUUUUUAUUAUUUUCUGUUUUUGUCUUGUCUACCUUUUAAAAACUAGGUAAAUGGUAGAUUCACUGUAGGGUUCUUCAUGGAACCAUUUCUUGAAUUUGUUAUUUCAAUAAUUUUCUUCAUUUCUAAUUCAUCCAUUUCUGCCUUUAGAUUUUCUCAUUCUUCUGUUAUUUUGCCCAAUUUUUUUUUCUUCCUUAGAAUGUUAAAUUCAGUUAUUUUCAUUUGUUCUUGUUAACUAGUAUAAAUAUUUUAAGUUUCUCUGUGAGAACUGCUUUAGUUGAUUCCCAUACUCUCAUGCUAAAUUUUUAUGAUAUUUUAUAUUUUCUGUAGUGUCAUGUUUUGCUGCUGCUUUGACCCAAGAAUGGUGUCAGGCUUUUUAAUUUUUUUCUGUUGAAAUCUUGACUUGUCCAGGUAAACAAUCAUAAUGAUGGCCAGUAAUUUCAAUUUUACACUUUUCUUCCUUGAGCUCUUUAGCUCAUGGCACCUUGUGGAACUAAGCAAGACUGGUACAGAAUAGGUGGGAAACUGAGUAGGGAGAAGACCAAGGAAUUUAUCAGAGUGUGUUGGAGUACUUGUCAGCUAAGAGAAGACAGAUGUAUUGAUAAGUUGAAGAAAUUGUUAGGAACACAUGAACAAGAAAAUGGCAUGUGAAUUAAGGACAACCAUCAUAAGGACAAAUUGUGUAUAGCUUCAAACCAUUGGAAGAAAACAAUUUCUGCCCAGUAGAAAGAGGGAUGGAAAAA